UGACACGUCAGUUUGACACAUUACGCUCCUGAUUCUUAGGAACGUGGUUAGAAAAUAAACAACCGCGACCGGUUGCUUUUGCUUUGAAGCCAUGCGCGCGCGCGCGCACACACACACACACACACACGUACUUUCUUCUGAUCAUUUCGGUAAAAUAUAAAAGAAACUAACGCGGAUUUUACAAAAAUGAAAAUACAGUGAAAGUUCGGUCCGGUCCGAAAUCCGCAGGGACUCUGGUUUAUUGACAGAAAACAGAGAAACGCGACCUGUGACCUAUCGGGGACCUCUGACCGGGUGAAAAUCCGGCUCUGUGAUUGGCUGGGCAGACUGACCUGCAGACAGGUGAAGAUGGCAGCACGUGCGGCCACGGCGCUGCCGCUGCUGAGCGUUUCGGUGCUGCUGGGACUCUCCGUCGGUCCCGGACGCUCCUCCUCCUCCGACUUCAGUCCGGACUCAGAGCGCGGCAGGAUGCGGCUGCGGCGCGUGCAGAGCCUCGCCUCUCAGCCCAGGUAUGGAGAGUGCUGGGCGCGAGCUCUGGAGCACCUGCACACGAGCUGCAAGGACAUGACGUCAGAGAGCCAAGGCCGGAUUGCGCUGGGGUUCACCCACUGUCACCUGAGCAGCUCUGGUAGGGAUUUCCCAUCAUGCCCUGAGGGCUCAGAGGUCAGCAGGUGCACAGGUGGGAUGGACGCUGUGGCCUUUAACACCUAUACAGAGUUCUUCACCCACACUCACUCCAUCUGUCACUUCCUGCAGUCUGAAGCCUGGCAGAGCAGAGCUGAAAACACCAUUUACAGGUUAACGGAGAGUUCAGCAGGUGUAGCUGAGCAGCUUCAGUCCACCAGGCAGAUGGCCGAGGACCUUAUUAAGGCCCAGAGUGUUGCCUUACAGGCGCAGCAGGAGAUCCUGAACAAUGGAGAGGAGCUGAGGGUCACCCUGAAAGACUCAACACAGGGCCUGCGCGCGGUCUUCUCGGAGCUCAGCAGCGUGUCCAGGGAGCAGCAGGUGGCGCUGUCUGAACUCUUUAACAGAGUUUCCUUCCUGCAGAGUUUCCUGCUGAUGGAGGCUCACAGUUUGAGCUCCUGCUGCUACAACGCUGCAGCUCUCUGCAUCUCCUUCCUCCUCACCUCCACCCAGCGCUCCUCCAGAGCCAGGUUGGUGUUGCUGGGCUUGGUGUGUUUGAAUUUCUACCUGGAGAGGAAGAUCUACCAGUCUGUGAUGAGCUCUGACCAUCCUGAACACAAACACGUGGAGCUGGUCAGUGUGUAUGUGGGUGUGUUGCGGCGGUGCAUGGUGUGUGUUGGAGUGUGCGUUCUGCUGUGUGUGUGCGUUCGGUACAGAGACCCGGUGCAGCAGAGCCUGCAGGUGCUGCAGCAGCUCAGAGAGAUGCAGCGCGGCCUGCAGGAGGCACUGCGGCACGCAGAGUGUUUAGGGGAGAGACAGAAGAAGAAGACGGAGGACAAUCAGCUUCAUGUGAAGAGGACAUCGGCGAGCAGAAGAAGAGAGGAGGUGCUGAGGAGGAGACGGGAGGAAGAAAGAGAAGAAGAAGAGAGGGAGGAAGCGCAGAAGUGCAGCACGUUGUUGUCUCCAACCUCAGACCGCUCGGACCUGUCUGACCUCUCACACAUCGGUUGGAGUCCUGACACCACCUUGCUGCCAUACACUACCCACAAUGCCUCAGUGAGUCCAGGCAGGCGUCCUCAUCGUUCCUCCUCCUCCACCUCCUCCACCCCUCUGGUCUACAGCGUCCUGGUGGAGGACAAACAGGGCAGAAAACGUCCGGGGGAAAAGGGGACCGAGCAGGCUGCCUGGACUCCGAGCCUCGGAUCCAUCAAACAGAUCUGAAACGUGUGACCUACGGCAGGUCGACUGUAUAUGAAGACACAGUGAUGUGGAAACGCUGGAUCUGCUAGAAAAAGUAGAUCCAGUAGUCGGCUUUGUCAGUGGCGGGCUCCGCCUUUCCCGCCGCACGCACGGGGUCUUCACAGGAAAUGACGAAAGCGUGUCUCGUGUAACGUAGUGACGUAACAAGCGCAGGACAGAUGGUCCCCGCCAUCUUGAAGUACAACGGUGUCUCGUCUUCUGAAACAGCUCAGUUUCCUGCUCGCAGUGACUCAAUAAAGGGUCGUUUCGAUCGAUCUGAGACGUUACCACGCCUCGUUACAGCCUGAGGAGCAGAAGGUCGGAGCCUCGCUGAUUCUGACGCGACUUCCUCCUGAAGCAAAGUCGGGACCUCAGUAUUUUAAACAGCGUUUCUAUACCAAUAAAG